GAGUUUGAUCCUGGCUCAGAUUGAACGCUGGCGGCAGGCCUAAGACAUGCAAGUCGAACGGUAACGACACUAGCUUGCUAGUGGUCGACGAGUGGCGGACGGGUGAGUAACGCGUAGGAAUCUACCUAGUAGUGGGGGAUAGCCAAGGGAAACUUUGGGUAAUACCGCAUACGAUCUAAGGAUGAAAGGGGGCCUCUCUUUGAAGCUCUCGCUAUUAGAUGAGCCUGCGUAAGAUUAGCUUGUUGGUGGGGUAAUGGCCCACCAAGGCGACGAUCUUUAGCUGGUCUGAGAGGAUGAUCAGUCACACUGGAACUGAGACACGGUCCAGACUCCUACGGGAGGCAGCAGUCGGGAAUAUUGGACAAUGGGGGAAACCCUGAUCCAGCCAUGCCGCGUGUGUGAAGAAGGCCCUAGGGUUGUAAAGCACUUUUAGUAGUGAGGAAGGCUCAGUAGUUAAUACCUACUGGGAUUGACGUUAGCUACAGAAAAAGCACCGGCUAAUUUCGUGCCAGCAGCCGCGGUAAUACGAAAGGUGCAAGCGUUAAUCGGAAUUACUGGGCGUAAAGCGCGCGUAGGCGGCUUGGUAAGUUGGAUGUGAAAGCCCCGGGCUCAACCUGGGAACUGCAUCCAAAACUGCCUAGCUAGAGUAUGGUAGAGGAUGGCGGAAUUUCCUGUGUAGCGGUGAAAUGCGUAGAUAUAGGAAGGAACAUCAGUGGCGAAGGCGGCCAUCUGGACCAAUACUGACGCUGAGGUGCGAAAGCGUGGGGAGCAAACAGGAUUAGAUACCCUGGUAGUCCACGCCGUAAACGAUGAGAACUAGCCGUUGGACAUCUUGCAUGUUUAGUGGCGCAGCUAACGCGAUAAGUUCUCCGCCUGGGGAGUACGGCCGCAAGGUUAAAACUCAAAUGAAUUGACGGGGGCCCGCACAGCGGUGGAGCAUGGUGGUUUANUCGACGCACGCGAAGAACCUUACCUACACUUGACAUCCUCGGAACUUUCUAGAAGAAUAGAUUGGUGCCUUC
rnacentral:rRNA from 1 species